rnacentral:tRNA from 1 species
GUAAGUAUAGUUUAACGAAAAUAUUAGAUUGUGAUUCUAAAGACAGGGGUUAAAGUCCCCUUACUCACC